rnacentral:rRNA from 1 species
AGUGAACGCUGGCGGUAGGCCUAACACAUGCAAGUCGAACGGCAGCACAGUAAGAGCUUGCUCUUACGGGUGGCGAGUGGCGGGCGGGUGAGGAAUACAUCGGAAUCUACUUUUUCGUGGGGGAUAACGUAGGGAAACUUACGCUAAUACCGCAUACGACCUACGGGUGAAAGCAGGGGAUCUUCGGACCUUGCGCGAUUGAAUGAGCCGAUGUCGGAUUAGCUAGUUGGCGGGAUAAAGGCCCACCAAGGCGACGAUCCGUAGCUGGUCUGAGAGGAUGAUCAGCCACACUGGAACUGAGACACGGUCCAGACUCCUACGGGAGGCAGCAGUGGGGAAUAUUGGACAAUGGGCGCAAGCCUGAUCCAGCCAUACCGCGUGGGUGAAGAAGGCCUUCGGGUUGUAAAGCCCUUUUGUUGGGAAAGAAAAGCAGCAGGUUAAUACCCCGCUGUUCUGACGGUACCCAAAGAAUAAGCACCGGCUAACUUCGUG